rnacentral:rRNA from 1 species
GUGGAUUAGAUACCCUGGUAGUCCACGCUGUAAACGAUGAGUGCUAGGCGUCGGCAGGCUUGCCUGUCGGUGCCGCAGCUAACGCGUGAAGCACUCCGCCUGGGGAGUACGGUCGCAAGAUUAAAACUCAAAGGAAUUGACGGGGGCCCGCACAAGCGGUGGAGCAUGUGGUUUAAUUCGACGCAACGCGCAGAACCUUACCAGCCCUUGACAUCCCGCGCUCGGUCCAGAGAUGGACUUUCCCCGCAAGGGGCGCGGAGACAGGUGCUGCAUGGUUGUCGACAACU